CGCGGGGUAGAGCAGUUGGCAGCUCGUCGGGCUCAUAACCCGAAGGUCGCAGGUUCAAGUCCUGCCCCCGCCACCA
rnacentral:tRNA from 1 species